UUGGCCAUAUCAUGUUUAAAAACCGGUUCCCGUACGAUCACACAAGCUAAGCGACAUCGCGCUUGAUCAGUACCUAGAUGAGUGACCUCUUGAGAAUAUCAGGUGCU